rnacentral:rRNA from 1 species
CCAGACUCCUACGGGAGGCAGCAGUGGGGGAUAUUGCACAACGGGGGAAACCCUGAUGCAGCGACGCCGCGUGAGUGAAGAAGUAAUUCGUUACGUAAAGCUCUAUCAGCAGGGAAGAAAAUGACGGUACCUGACUAAGAAGCCCCGGCUAACUACGUGCCAGCAGCCGCGGUAAUACGUAGGGGGCUAGCGUUAUCCGGAUUCACUGGGUGUAAAGGGAGCGUAGACGGCGACGCAAGUCUGGAGUGAAAGCCCGGGGCCCAACCCCGGGACUGCUCUGGAAACUGCGGCGCUGGAGUACGGGAGGGGCAGGCGGAAUUCCUGGUGUAGCGGUGAAAUGCGUAGAUAUCAGGAGGAACACCGGCGGCGACGGCGGCCUGCUGGACCGUGAAUGACG